CGCCACCCGGCCCAGCCCGGCCUGGCCCGGCCCGGCCCGGCCGUGAGGGCUCCGCGGGCUCGGCGCCGCUGCUCACCCCGCUCGCGGCUGCCCCGCCGGCCGGGCUGCGCUGGGCGGGGAGCUGCGGGCAUGGGGCCGGCGUGCAGGGCUCUGGAGCCUGCGGAGAAAGGCAGCGGGCGCAGAGUCGCCCCGUGUGGCGCUGCUAGCGAGGAGGCGGCGUCUCCGGGGGGAAAGGCGAAAGCGCUCGGUCACCACGGUGUGACCGUCAUCGGGAAACUGCAUUUUCCGACGGGAAUGGGAAAGUUUGGUGUGUGGACUUGCCAGUGCUUGGAAUACAGAAACACAGACAAUGGGAGAGAAGCAAGUUAAGAAACCUUGUCACCCUCUGGAGGACAGAUACAAAAUUCAUUGCUUUCCUGCCAGAGGCCAACGCAACUGAGUAGAGUAAUUAUACCAGAAAUCUUUUGUGUUCAGCUGGAAUAAGACAACAAGAGAUUCCAUUUCUCUUCCUAACUCACUCCAGGACAAAAUCGUCCCAUUUGAGUUUGGAUUUAAGCAAACCACCUCAAUGUACCUUAAUGGAGACAUAGAGCCCAUGCGGCCAAUGUGCACGUGACCUCAUCGGAACUGCAGCAUCUACCUCUACACACCCAGAGCACAGGAGCAUCCACCACAUUAAUUGUUUCUUAAGUGAUUGUGAAUCGGGGCUCUGAAAGCAAUUUGGGUCAUAAAUGGGGAUUUCAGGAAUAUCAGUCCUCUUAAGUUACACUGCAAACCUAGAUGUUUAAUAUUUAGAGAGAAAAAGAUAUACUUCAGAUCUAAAGGAAGAAGUAUUCCUGACCAAACUGAAACCUAGAGGAAUUAAAACUUUGAAAUUUGCCACUGAAAGCCACAGUAAUUCACAAAGCCAUUUAUAAUACCCUGAAGCCUAUAUUUUUAAAAUUUUAAUUACUGUCUGUUAUAAUUUUAUGUAUCUCUUACCUGAUUUUGUACUCUUGUUUCCUGGGUACAGAGACAAGGUGGUGAAGCUUUUAGUGUUGUUUUUUCAAUACCACUCACAUCACAGCGGGGAGAGGGUGUGUGUGGCUUCUGCAGGAAAAGAGCUGGGGCUGGCAACAAGAAGUUUGCCAUUUUUGCCUGGCUCUCUUCAGGAAGAAGGUCCCAGGUCAGCCUGAUGGAACUUGUUCUGCUGCCACCACCGGCUGCUCCCUUUCCCAUUCCUCUGAAUCGCAGUUUUUGUAGCUUGGUGCUGAAAGACAGUGAUGGGGAGCCCAAGAUGCCACUCUGAGGGAAAGAAAAGGGAGCAAGAGCGGCAGUAGCAGCCUGAGUGCGGAGCUGUGUGGGGCCCAGGAGAGCUGAGUGGAGCGGCACUAAUGCCGCAGGGAUCUGCGUGCAGCUGAACUGGUGAAAUGGAGUGGUCUGGCGGGCAGCGCAGGUGAUCUAGCUGCCAAGAGGCCUUGUCUACCUUGGCUCCCCAUUGCUGAUUUUUAACUGGGGGUGGGCCAGGAGACGUGACACUGUGGAAGCUCUCAUUCACAUUCACCUCGCUUUGAUUUUCCCAAGUACCGCUGGCCCCAGUGCAGGGCCAGUCCCCAUCUUGCCUUUGUCUGGGAAACUGUGUUCAGGUGCUGUCUUCAGGAAGCAGUUCUGUUUGUCUGGUGGCAAUACUUUUUUGUGAGUAAAACACUCUUUAUCAUUAAUACUAUGAUUAUUGCAAUUUUCAGUAAACUGUCAUUCCAGCUUAUUAUUUCUCCCAGAGCUCCUCAGUUUUUAGAAGGUGCAAGGGUGAGAAGGGAGCAGCUUGAGUGGGUUUAAUGUUAUAAAUAGGAUUUAAAACCAGCACCAUGCGAUUUUGGGAAACAUUUUUGUGCAUUUUAUUUCAUUGUUUAUUUCCAGCCAUCACAUAACUUAAUUUUCUACAACAUUCUUUCUCUGAAUAACAAAAUCAGCAUUUAUAGCUGUAAUAGUCAAAGUGCUUACAUUUUGGGAAUAAAUUUUUGCAGAGUUUUUUUAUAUGCUGAAGG
ensembl:lncRNA